AUGCUAGGGUCUGUCACCCUCCUUCUUGCUGCCCUGCUCCCUGUUGUUCAAACAGCACUCUCCCUGUACCAGCCAAUGGUCUCCAUUGCCAGGCAGACUGGGAACACCAUAAAGAUCCACUGCGAAGUUUCUCACAAAAGCAUCAUGUACAUCCACUGGUAUCGGCAGCAGCGUGGAAAGGCUCCCCAGCGCCUACUCUAUUAUAACCUGAACACAUUGAAACAGGCGAUGACUGCAGGAUUCGAUUCAAACAGAUUCUAUGCUUACAAAAGAAAAGAUCAAAGCUGCACCCUGGAGAUCCAGAAACUGAGCACGACUGAUGCUGGCACCUAUUACUGUGCCAGCUGGGACUCCACAGUGAUGCAGAUCCCUUUGCACUCCUUACAAAAAAGUCACUGA